rnacentral:tRNA from 1 species
CGCCAUAAAGCUCAGUUGAUAGAGCACCUGACUAGUGAUCAAUGGGGACUGGGUUGGAAUCCCAGUGUGGUCC